rnacentral:ncRNA from 2 species
AGAUGUUAUAGAGGAGCUUUUAACAAUAGUAGAUAGUCCAGCAGGCGUGCAAUGACACUAUUGAAAGGGUAUAAAGGCCGAAAUGAUUUUAAUGGCAAUUAAAAUUGUUGAUAAAAAAGCAUAAAAGAUUUUUAUUCUUUGGUAAAUCCAUUGGUGCUAUAACUUCG